AGCGAACGCUGGCGGCAGGCCUAACACAUGCAAGUCGAACGAACCUUUCGGGGUUAGUGGCGGACGGGUGAGUAACACGUGGGAACGUGCCUUUAGGUUCGGAAUUACUCAGGGAAACUUGUGCUAAUACCGAAUGUGCCCUUCGGGGGAAAGAUUUAUCGCCUUUAGAGCGGCCCGCGUCUGAUUAGCUAGUUGGUUGAGGUAAUGGCUCACCAAGGCGACGAUCAGUAGCUGGUCUGAGAGGAUGAUCAGCCACAUUGGGACUGAGACACGGCCCAAACUCCUACGGGAGGCAGCAGUGGGGAAUCUUGCGCAAUGGGCGAAAGCCUGACGCAGCCAUGCCGCGUGAAUGAUGAAGGUCUUAGGAUUGUAAAAUUCUUUCACCGGGGACGAUAAUGACGGUACCCGGAGAAGAAGCCCCGGCUAACUUCGUG
rnacentral:rRNA from 1 species